UUCUGUGUUGCAUUUUCUUUAUUUUUACCCAACUCAGACACUUGCCACUUCUGGUGGCCUAAAUUGUCGCGGUUCUGGAAUUUGUUGUUACGAUAGCCUCGUUUAUUCUUUCUUCCCCAAGGCUUCUUAUUAUAUGACCAUCUCUUAUCACGUUAUUCUGCUGGAAUGACGUGCUGUUAAUAUCUGGCAAUGGGGUAGCACCCGUUGGCCGUACUUGAUGGUUUUUUAACAACAAUUCAUUAUUCUUU
rnacentral:lncRNA from 1 species